CCUUGCGCUUUUGGGGCGGCCGAUGUCUGAUUAGCUAGUUGGUGAGGUAAAGGCUUACCAAGGCUUCGAUCAGUAGCUGGUCUGAGAGGACGACCAGCCACACUGGGACUGAGACACGGCCCAGACUCCUACGGGAGGCAGCAGUGGGGAAUUUUGGACAAUGGGGGAAACCCUGAUCCAGCCAUGCCGCGUGAGUGAAGAAGGCCUUCGGGUUGUAAAGCUCUUUCAGCCGGAACGAAACGGUCACGGCUGAUACCCGUGACUACUGACGGUACCGGAAGAAGAAGCACCGGCUAACUACGUGCCAGCAGCCGCGGUAAUACGUAGGGUGCGAGCGUUAAUCGGAAUUACUGGGCGUAAAGCGUGCGCAGGCGGUUUUGUGAGCCAGAUGUGAAAGCCCCGGGCUUAACCUGGGAACUGCGUUUGAAACUACAAGGCUAGA
rnacentral:rRNA from 1 species